rnacentral:misc_RNA from 1 species
CGAUGCUUCUAAAAAACAAUGAAUAAUAGCAUAAGAGGAACUUUUCAGAUCAAUGGCUGUUGAAGUCCAUUGACUCCAUUGAUAGGUUUUAAUUUCAAGGGUAACUCAGAAAUGAAAUCAGCCUGGAUAAGAAAGUUAUGUAAAUAACGUGGCCGAUUACCGUGGAAAUACACCUCAUUGGAAUUAUAUAAUUUUUUUUUUCAUUUUCCAUUUUGAUCUAUGGUUCCUACAACUAUAAAACAAUAAAACUGGGCAUCUAACAAAAAAGUUCUUGUUAAUUCUGAAAAGCCAUCUAAAUACACACAGUUAUUCAUUCUAGUUUGCCAACACAAUUUCACUUAGGAAGGAAACACAUAAAACAAUAAAAAUAAUCAACAAUAUAUAUUUUUUUCCUGAUAAGUAAUAAUUACACUCAUUUUAUCAAGUAAACAUCAGCAAUUUAAACGAUCAAAAUCCAGAGCAUCAGAUGUGACCUGCAGUAAAGGUGGUUUUAUAUCUGGAAUUUGGUCAGCAAAAUUCCGGGUGUAAAAUGCUGCUAAAGCCCUGCUGGCUGCUGAACUGGAGGGAGACAAGCUAAUCAUGCCUUGGGCAAUUGACACCAUCGUCAGUGAUCUCAUAGCACAAAACUCGGAUGAUGAUUUCCACAG